GUGUGGAGAAGGAAGCGUGCGGUGCCCCAGGGGGCUGUGAGCGGCAUCGUUCCCUGCCCUGUAGGUGCAGGCUCUGCUCGGGUGGACUUGCUCCCUGUCCAGCCUGCUCGCCGUGGUCGCUGUGGCGUACGCAGUGGACGACACCUCUGCCACCCCUUCAGUGGCCGCUGCUGUCUACCAGGCCGUGCACCGGAGCCUGUGGGCGGUGGCCGUGGGCUGGGUCGUGUUCGCCUGUCACGAAGGCUAUGGAGGUCUGGUAAACCAGCUGCUUGCUUGUGGUAUGUGGAGCUUCCUGGCCAGCAUCAGUUAUGCCUGCUACUUGGUGCAUCCCAUCGUCAUCAUCCUCUACAACGGCCUCCAGGAGACGCUCAUUCACUACACGGACACCAACAUGUUCUAUCUUUUCUCUGGACACUGUCUGCUGACCUUCGUCGCUGGGCUGGCCCUGACGCUCUUCAUUGAGAAACCGUGUCAGGAACUGAAGCAGUGCCUUCUGGGACCGAUACCUGAAGGGCCAGGAACGGCCUAGUAAAACCCCAAAGACGGAAGGCCCUUUUUUGGUGGUAAAGGGCAAAAGCAGGGGUGGCCUCGUUUAUGUAACAAAUGGGUGAGUUUCUGAAAAGGGGCGUGAAGCUGAUUUUGUGGAUGUUUAUAGUAUGAAGUUCCCUGUAUUUAAUCUAUAAAAGAGUUCUAAGUAUUUAAUAUAUAAAAGAGUUCUAUGAUCAUCUGUUUAGUAGCAUAAUAAUUACCCUUUGAUGUGUUUUUUAGCAAAAAAUAUUCUGGAUAUUUAUGGUCUCAUCCUGUAUUUAUUUUCUAUAUUAGUGAUCACAGAAAAACAUCAAAUAUAGUGAAUAGGAUGUAAUUUGGUUGUUAAAAUGCUAACGUUCCUUAUUAAAAUCACACUGUAGUUCUCCUCAUCAUAGUAGUUUCUGUGUUAUUCUCAUACCUUUGUAGACUCAUAACUUUUUUGGAUCCUCAGGAUGG